UAAUUGAAGAGUUUGAUCAUGGCUCAGAUUGAACGCUGGCGGCAGGCCUAACACAUGCAAGUCGGGCGGUAACAGGGAGAAGCUUGCUUCUCCGCUGACGAGCGGCGGACGGGUGAGUAAUGUAUGGGGAUCUGCCUGAUGGCGGGGGAUAACUACUGGAAACGGUAGCUAAUACCGCAUAAUGUCUGCGGACCAAAGCGGGGGACCUUCGGGCCUCGCGCCAUCAGAUGAACCCAUAUGGGAUUA
rnacentral:rRNA from 1 species